AUUGAACGCUGGCGGCAUGCCUUACACAUGCAAGUCGAACGGCAGCGCGGGAGCAAUCCUGGCGGCGAGUGGCGAACGGGUGAGUAAUAUAUCGGAACGUGCCCAUUAGUGGGGGAUAGCCCGGCGAAAGCCGGAUUAAUACCGCAUACGACCUGAGGGUGAAAGCGGGGGAUCGCAAGACCUCGCGCUAUUGGAGCGGCCGAUAUCAGAUUAGCUAGUUGGUGGGGUAAAGGCCUACCAAGGCAACGAUCUGUAGUUGGUCUGAGAGGACGACCAGACACACUGGGACUGAGACACGGCCCAGACUCCUACGGGAGGCAGCAGUGGGGAAUUUUGGACAAUGGGUGCAAGCCUGAUCCAGCAAUGCCGCGUGCAGGAAGAAGGCCUUCGGGUUGUAAACUGCUUUUGUCAGGGAAGAAAUCCUUUGGGCUAAUACCUCGGAGGGAUGACGGUACCUGAAGAAUAAGCACCGGCUAACUACGUGCCAGCCGCCGCCGUAA
rnacentral:rRNA from 1 species